AGAAAUAGUAAAGGGGAGGAUGUUUUCGCGAUUUCCACAAACUUAGAGUAGGUGAGUGUAAUUUACGAAAAGUUCAACGAUAUACACAAAACUGACAAAAGAGUACUCGUCACGGUUUCUUCUGGCUUGUUCUACAAUUUCUGCUUGCUGAAAUGGCGCCAAGGAGAAGCACUCCUGCUAUUACUAAUAAGACGAAGAAGAAGGCUAAAUCUCCGCUGUCCGAUCCUCAAGGAAUGUUCUCCGGGAUGGUUGUUCACUUAAUCGAAAGCGGAGUUCAGGCCCGUCGGUUACAGAUUUGGAAGCACCGAUUAGAGCAAUUGGGGGCGAAAAUAGAGGAUGAUUUCUCGAAAAAUGUUACGCAUGUGUUUGCUAUAAACUUAGAUACAUUGAUUCAAAAAGUUGAUCUUGAACUCGUAAAGCGCUUGAAAACGAUAGUUCUCAGUUAUCAGUGGCUUGAAGACAGCUUGAGAGAAGGAAAAAAAGUACUUGAAGAAUCAUAUAUUCUGUCAUUGGAGAGAGGAGGAGGUGACAAGAUAAGUAACACUGCAGAAGAAACUUUCCCCAAACUCUUGAAUGAUGUCCAUUCUGGUGCUAGUGAAACAUUACAGCGAAAAAAGAUCAGAAUUUCGCCAAUGGAUCUUGCAGAUACAAAUGUGAAGAACACUGUCAAAUUGGAGGAAAAUGCAGUACCUGAGUCACCUGAUUCUUCAAGUGGUUCAUAUGUCUCUAUGCAUUCUUUAAGUCCUGAAAUCACUGACCCAUCAAUUGAUGCUCAACACAAGACUGUUUUGACUUCAGACUCAGCCUUGCUUUACAGUCCUCCUGAUUUAAACAGGAAUAUAACUGAGAUAUUUGGGAGGCUUAUAAACAUAUAUAGAGCUCUUGGUGACGAUCGGAGGUCAUUUAGCUAUCACAAAGCCAUUCUUGUGAUUGAAAAGCUGCCUUUCAAAAUUGAGAGUGUGGAACAGGUUAAACACUUACCUGGUAUUGGCAAGUCAAUGCUAGAUCAUAUUCAGGAGAUAGUGACAACUGGGAAGCUAUCCAAGUUGGAGCACUUUGAGAAGGAUGAAAAGGUCAAGACAAUUAGUUUGUUUGGAGAAAUAUGGGGAAUUGGUCCAGCCACUGCUUUGAAGCUUUAUGAAAAAGGCCACCGAACUUUGGAUGACCUGAAAAAUGAGGAGUCAUUGACAAAUGCACAGAGGUUGGGGUUGAAGUACUUUGAUGAUAUCAGAAAAAGGAUUCCAAGGCAUGAGGUUGAAGAGAUGGGACAUCUUCUAAAGAAAGCUGGAGAUGAUGUUUUGCCUGGGGUAGAAAUUGUUUGUGGAGGAUCUUAUCGACGGGGAAAGGCUUCUUGUGGGGAUUUGGACAUAUUAAUUACUCAUCCUGAUGGUAAAAGUCAUGUAGGCUUUCUCCCACAGUAUGUGAAGCACCUGAAAGACAUGAAGUUCUUGAGAGAAGAUUUGGUCUUUAGAGUUCACAGCGAAGAGGGUACAGAUUCAGGAGUGGACACUUACUUUGGCCUUUGCACUUACCCUGGACGAGAAUUGCGGCACCGCAUAGACUUCAAGGUUUAUCCAAGGGACAUCCAUGCAUUUGGAUUGAUAGCUUGGACGGGGAAUGACGUAUUGAACAGGAGGAGAUCUUCCGGUCAGGCUUCCCUUCCCCUUUUCUAACCCUUACAUGCUACCUAAUGAGCGUCAAUGGGAAAAUGUAGAUUGUGGAGCUAUUAGCCUAUUGGAUCCACAGAGACAAUGUAGAUUGUUCCCAAAGACAACCUAGAAUACUUUCCUCUCGUUUUUGGUGCAAUCACCAUAACAUUCCGACUGAAAACCAAUGGUGGAUUGUCGUGUUAUCUCUUUUAGUCAUAUCAUUCUGAGUCAUGGUUUUCCUUUCUGCUACAGUCUUUGAUUUCAUAAUUAGGCAGAUUAAGUUACCGUUGUCUGCAACAGCAUCUUGGUGCCUUUGCAUUUUGUUUGCUAUUUAUUUUUAAUGUGUUUAGCCAUUCAAUACUGGUGGUUAAUAUUCCAGGUUGAGACUACUGGCAGAAUCCAAGGGUUUCCGAUUGGAUGAUACAGGGUUAUUUCCAGCUACUCGUGGCUCUGGUGGCCAACGGGGUAAAGGUAGUGCCAGUUUGAAACUUCGGACAGAAAAAGAGGUCUUUGAUUUCCUUGGCUUUCCUUGGCUUGAACCGCAUGAAAGAAAUUUAUAACAAACGGGCAGCUCUAUAGAUCCUUGAAUUUCCAGACGCCAAGGAUUUGCUUGAUGACUAUCGUCACUGGAAGAGAUGUGCCUGUCAUGCUAGCUUUUAGUUAAUUUGGUUGUCCACUCGGCUGAUGAUUAUUCAAAAAAGCUAUGGAGGCGAUCUGUAGGGGACGAAGUUCGCUCCAUGAACUUGUCCUUGGAAUUUUUGAUUCCCUUGCUUUACGUUCUUCAAAGUGGAAAAUUUUUGUGAGUAUAUAUAUGUAAAUAACGUGAAUCAUCUCUGUUUGCGCGAAGCAAAUUUUGGAAUGUUAACCUAAAAUAUGUAAAUCGAAUCCCGUCGAGGAAGAUACAAGAAUUUACAA